rnacentral:rRNA from 1 species
GACGAACGCUGGCGGCGUGCCUAACACAUGCAAGUCGAACGGAGAAGUUCAGCAAUGGAUUUCUUAGUGGCGAACGUGUGAGUAACGCGUAGACAACCUGCCUCUAAGCUGGGGACAACAACUCGAAAGGGUUGCUAAUACCGAAUGUGAACAGUGCCUCGCAUGAGAUGCUGUUUGAAGGUGGCCUCUGAAUAUGCUACCGCUUAGAGAUGGGUCUGCGUCUGAUUAGCUAGUUGGAGGGGUAAUGGCCCACCAAGGCGACGAUCAGUAGCCGGUUGGAGAGGAUGACCGGCCACACUGGAACUGAGACACGGCCCAGACUCCUACGGGAGGCAGCAGUGGGGAAUCUUCCGCAAUGGACGAAAGUCUGACGGAGCAACGCCGCGUGAGUGAAGAAGGCCCUCGGGUCGUAAAGCUCUGUCUUCAGGGACGAAUGUGCAGAUUGUGAAUAAUGGUUUGUAAUGACGGUACCUGAGGAGGAAGCCACGGCUAACUACGUGCCAGCCGCCGCGGUAA